AUUGAACGCUGGCGGCAUGCUUUACACAUGCAAGUCGAACGGUAACAGGCCGCAAGGUGCUGACGAGCGGCGAACGGGUGAGUAAUGCAUCGGAACGUGCCCUGUCGUGGGGGAUAACGCAGCGAAAGCUGUGCUAAUACCGCAUACGAUCUAUGGAUGAAAGCGGGGGACCGUAAGGCCUCGCUCGAUUGGAGCGGCCGAUGUCAGAUUAGGUAGUUGGUGGGGUAAAGGCUCGCCAAGCCAACGAUCUGUAGCUGGUCUGAGAGGACGACCAGCCACACUGGGACUGAGACACGGCCCAGACUCCUACGGGAGGCAGCAGUGGGGAAUUUUGGACAAUGGGCGCAAGCCUGAGCCAGCAAUGCCGCGUGCAGGAAGAAGGCCUUCGGGUUGUAAACUGUUUUUGUACGGAACGAAACGGUCUGGGUUAAUACCCUGGGCUAAUGACGGUACCGUAAGAAUAAGCACCGGCUAACUACGUGCCAGCAGCCGCGGUAACAC
rnacentral:rRNA from 1 species